AGAAAAAACCAGAGGAAAACAAAGUGGAGGAGAAAAAAGCAGAGGAAGAAGAAAAGAAAGAAGAAGAGAAAAAAUCAGAGGAAUCAAAAGAUGACAAGGAAUCCAAGGAGGAACCUGUGCCGCUAGAAAUUGUGCAAGGCACAACCUUCGCAAUGCAUGGACACUUUAAGCACGAUUUCUGGCAUCUUUUAAGUUAGGGACUAUUUUGCAACACUUAUGCAAAAGAUAAGGACUAUUUUGAAUUUUUCAUUAAGUUAGGGACUAAUAUGCAAUAGGGGUACAAAGUCAGGGAUUAUAUUGCUUAUUUACUCGUUUUGCUAUCAUCAAAUGACGUGGCAUCUUUUAAGAGGCACGUCCAUGUGUCAUGCCACGUCAUCCUUUAAUGCCACGUUGGAUAAUCCACCUGUCACUAAAAUUGACCUCACUAACAACGUUACUUUAAAAUUUAACGGAAGGACUUUUUUGCAACACUUAUGCAAAGAUAAGGACUAUUUUGAAUUUAACAUUAAGUUAGGGACUAAUAUGCAAAAUGAGUGCAAUCUCAGGGACUAAAUUGCCUAUUCACUCUAUAUAUAUAUGGUGUUAUGUUAUUAAGUUUUAGAAAUGGUAGAUAUGCAUUGGUUAGGGCUGAGGCUUGGGGUUAGUUUAGUUGGUUGGGAUGUUUUUAGUUGAUAGGGUUGAGGUUAGGGUUACUUUACUGAUUAUUAUUUAGGUUAGGGGUUGAUUUAGAUGCUAGGGGAUAGGUUAGGGUUAGUUUACUGAUUAAGAUUUAGGUUAGGGGUUAGUUUAGAUCUUAGGGGUUAGGUUAGGGUUUAGUGUCUAGGGUUUAACUUAUGCAAUGCAUAGGUGGUAGUGUUUAGGGUAGUGUGAUUAGGGUUUAUAAUGUAGGGUUGAUGACUUAGGGUUAUGCAGGUUUAUGAAUAUUGAAUUUGACCAAAAACAAUACAUGAUUUACAAAUCAUGGUUAGAACGAGAGGUUUAGGUCGUGCAUUAGGUAAGGGUAUAGGUUGAGGUUGGGGUGGACAGGAUGAGCAUCAUGCACAUGAUGUUCCUCGGCGGCGUAGGCCUACUGCAUCCGUCCGUAGGCAAUAGGUACAUGUUUCUGUUGCUGAGGACGUUGCUGAUAUGAUUGAGGAAGUUCCUCAGAUGACUGAGGAUGUUCCUCAUAUGACUACGAACGUACCUACUGUUGGUGUAGAGGGCUUAGCUAGUGAUGUUGCUGCGAAAUCAGUUGCUGAUGAUGCUGAGGGAUUCCCAGGUGGACCGCGGGACCCAUCAGUGCUCACUUUGUUUGCGGAGCAUGUUGCACACAACAUAUGGACUGGAGAGGAACGUCCUGAAUUGAAGCUGGUCUCCCACGGAAGGAAGGCAGAGAAAUUUGGGAGGCCAAUGCGUGAGAUUGCAGGGUUAGUAGACACCAUAAGAUUAACUCUUUUGAUCGGGUGUUCAGUAGUCACCGACGAUCCGAGAGUUACAUUCGUUUUCGUGGAGGUGUGACAUGGGGAGACUAACACCUUCCAUCUUCUGGUAGGAGAGGUUAUGAUCACACUGGAUGAUGUGGCAUCACUCCUCCAUCUGUCGAUCACAGGCGCCUUCCACAACUUCGAGCCUCUACUUGUGGACGAGGCGACCGUCUUGUUGAUGGAGUUGCUUGAGGUCUCGGGUGAAGAGGCUAGAGCUGAGACUGUACGGGCGUAUGGGGCAUAUGUACGCCUGUCGUGGCUACGAGAUAUCUAUCUGAGGAGAUGCGAGACCGGACGGUUGGUUGUAGCAACUCGUGCUUAUCUCUUCCACUUGGUUGGUUGCACUCUUUUUGCUAACAAGAGUGCAACACAUGUUCAUGUAGUGCAUCUGAAGGCUUUUCGAGACCUGGGUGAGAGUGGGAGCUAUGCCUGGGGAGCUGCCGCGCUGGUGCAUAUGUAUAAUCAGUUAAAUGAAGCUUUUCAGAGCAGUAGAUGAUAGAUAGCUGGGUACCUGACUUUAUUACAUUGCUGGAUAUAUGAGCACUUUCCUAAUGUCUAUGACUGUGUCACUAACGAUGCGUACGAUGAGACAUUCCCACGUGCCUGCCGGUGGCUUACGACGAAGACUUAUAUGAAGGGAUUACCAAUAGCGCUGUAUCGGACACGUUUAGAUGCUUUGACGAUCACUGACGUGUGCUGGAUGCCUUAUGGUGACCACAGAGGAGUGAGGGGGUUUGACCUCAGUUCGUGCUUCUAGGGCCAGCUUAGAUGGGGUCCUAUUGUGGUCAUAGUUUGACCAGAGAGGGUGGUACGACAGUUUGACUACGUUCAGACCAUCCCUCCACCGCCUGUUAGUGCCUGCUUGUCAUAUGAGGAUAUCGACGACAGAUAGAUGCAUUACUCGAACCAUCUAGCAGUUGCGGGUGAGAUUUUUGUUGUGUCUAGGCAGGUAUCAGCAGAUUACAUGGAGUGAUUCUUUCGGAUAUCUCAUCCGUUCAUCACACUCACACAAGCAGGUGAUAAGCCUAGACUUCCACCUGCCCCACAACAUGAGGAAUAUGUCGAGCCAGGUAUCCCGGAGGUUCCAGUGGGAGCAAAAGGUGGACCGUCACAGGCAUCUGAUCCCCCUAGACAUGCAGUGGUUGUGAAACGGUCGCAAAAAGGUUGGAACGUGUGCUCAACCUAAGGAUGGUCACUGAAGGUACAAAGUUACACGAGAUCAUGAAAGAUUGCCUCAGGAUCGCUAGGGGUGACACCUCAAAUGGAAAUGUUAGGACACGACGAAGAUGACGCACAGAUCAUUCAUAGGUCAUGUUAUGUCUUUUAUUUGACAACAUUUUUGUAUUUGUUACAUUAUUUUGGUUAUAACUUUUAUUAAAAUUAUUUGUUACAUUA